GGCCAGACUCCUACGGGAGGCAGCAGUGAGGAAUAUUGGUCAAUGGGCGCGAGCCUGAACCAGCCAAGUCGCGUGAGGGAUGACGGCCCUACGGGUUGUAAACCUCUUUUGUCGGGGAGCAAAUUCCGCCACGUGUGGCGGAGUCGAGAGUACCCGAAGAAAAAGCAUCGGCUAACUCCGUGCCAGCAGCCGCGGUAAUACGGAGGAUGCGAGCGUUAUCCGGAUUUAUUGGGUUUAAAGGGUGCGCAGGCGGAGGUGCAAGUCAGCGGUCAAAUUGCGGGGCUCAACCCCGUACUGCCGUUGAAACUGGGGAUCUAGAGUGUGCGAGAGGUAUGCGGAAUGCGUGGUGUAGCGGUGAAAUGCAUAGAUAUCACGCAGAACCCCGAUUGCGAAGGCAGCAUACCGGUGCACAACUGACGCUCAGGCACGAAAGCGUGGGUAUCGAACAGGAUUAGAUACCCGUGUAGA
rnacentral:rRNA from 1 species